rnacentral:rRNA from 1 species
GAUGAACGCUGGCGGCGUGCCUAACACAUGCAAGUCGAACGGAGAUUCCGGACGGAAGUUUUCGGAUGGAAGCCUGUAAUUCUUAGUGGCGGACGGGUGAGUAACGCGUGGGCAACCUGCCCUAUACAGGGGGAUAGCAGCUGGAAACGGCUGGUAAGACCGCAUAAGUCGGUUAAAUCGCAUGAUUUGAUCGGGAAAUGAGCAAUCAGGUAUAGGAUGGGCCCGCGUCCGAUUAGCCAGUUGGCAGGGUAAAAGCCUACCAAAGCGACGAUCGGUAGCCGGACUGAGAGGUCGGACGGCCACAUUGGGACUGAGACACGGCCCAAACUCCUACGGGAGGCAGCAGUGGAGGAUAUUGCACAAUGGAGGAAACUCUGAUGCAGCGACGCCGCGUGAGUGAAGAAGUAUUUCGGUAUGUAAAGCUCUAUCAGCAGGGAAGAUGAUGACGGUACCUGACUAAGAAGCCCCGGCUAACUACGUG